rnacentral:rRNA from 1 species
GACGAACGCUGGCGGCGUGCUUAACACAUGCAAGUCGAACGGAAAGGCCUGCUUUCCCUUGUGGAUUGCGGAUACUCGAGUGGCGAACGGGUGAGUAACACGUGAGUGAUCUGCCCCCAACUUGGGUAUAAGCCUGGGAAACUGGGUCUAAUUCCCGAUAGGACUGCAGGGUGGUGCCUGUGGUGGAAAACGAUUUUCUAGUGGUUGGGGAUGAGCUCGCGGCCUAUCAGCUUGUUGGUGGGGUAAUGGCCUACCAAGGCGGCGACGGGUAGCCGGCCUGGGAGGGUGGACGGCCACAUUGGGACUGAGAUACGGCCCAGACUCCUACGGGAGGCAGCAGUGGGGAAUAUUGCACAAUGGGCGGAAGCCUGAUGCAGCGACGCCGCGUGGGGGAUGACGGCCUUCGGGUUGUAAACUCCUUUCGACCGCGAGGAAGCCACCUGGUUGGAAGGGUGGUGACGGUAGUGGUAGAAGAAGCACCGGCUAACUACGUG